AUCUUCCGACUAGGCAGCCUCAGUCUUAGCUCGGCCGUCGCAGGGAGAGUGUGUGCGUUUGUCACUUGGAGAGUCAGGGAGAGUGUGUGCCCAAGACCCCUGUGUGUUAUACCUUUACCCUGGGUGUGCUGGGCUCUCUCUCUCCCCCUGGGGCUGACACUGUUCUCCUCCCCUGGAUAAUGAGAAAAAAGUGACGCGAAGUGGCAAAGUUCUGGCACAUUUCUUCCUUCAUCCUCCUCUUCCUCCUCUUCUCACAACAACAACAACAAUUACUACUACUACUACUACUACUACUACUACUACUACUACUACUACUACUACUACUACUACUACUACUUCUACUUCUACUACUACUACUAACAAUAAUAAUAAAAAUAAUAAUAAUAAUAAUAAUAAUAAUCAUAAUAAUACAAGAAUCACCACCCUCAGAAACCUACUAUUCCUCACACCGAAACCCUUACUGCUACCACCCACCUACUACUACUAUUACUACUACUACUACUACUACUACUACAAGAUGAAGUGUUUCGGCAGCAAGACUCGUUCCUAUCACAGCAAAGUCGUAUUACUGGACGAACAGGAACUUAUAGAAGAAAUAUUGGACACCAGCACGGGCCAAGACCUCCUGGCGACGGUGUUCACGCAUCUCAACCUCGUGGAGACGGCGUACUUCGGCUUGCGGUACCUCGAUGCAAACAACCAAACGGUGAGAGAUCUACUUAGUCACAUAGAAUGACAUAUAUAUAGAUUUACACAGAUUUGCAUAGAUAUCCAGAGCAUACAGGCCCUCGCAAACUAUAAUACUAUAAGCAGGGAGAGUUACAUAGAUAUACAUAGCAUAUAGGCCUUUACUGAAAACCACGGUGAGAGAUUUACAUAGUUACAAAGACUGACAGAUUUACAUAGAUUUGCAUAGAUAUUCAGAGCACAUAGACCCUUGGAAACUAUAAUACUGUGAAGAGGAAGAGGUGCAUAUAUUUACAUAGAUAUUCAGAGCACACAGGCCUCAGCAAACAACCAGAUUGAGAUAGAUAUAGAGAUAGAGAGAU